UCGUCAAAGACCCAGCCAAAUUCCCUUCCCUUCCAAUUCACCCGCGGAGGGACACCGCUAAAGCCACAACCCACCCCGCAUUUUCUUCGUAGAUAGAUUCAUCUGGCUCUCUUCUUCCCCAGAUUGCAACGACCGGCGACGACACUUUGGGGGAUGUCGCCUGCGCCCAGGCGGCGCUCGGAUCCAGCGCAACAACUUGCCCCGCGAGCACCCCCUCUUCUCCCUGGAUUGCAGCUGCCGCCGAUGGGAGAUUGGAGCAGGCCGCCCCACCGGCCGAGCUGGGAUCCACCGCACCGACCAUCCCCAUUGAAGGAAGCCAUCGCACUGCCGAGCUUGGAUCCACCGCAUUAACCCGCCUCGACCACCCGGCUCUCUUCUCCACUGCGAUGUGUGACAUCUCUUGGUGAUAUACUCAUCCUACCCUCCUCAUCUCUCCACCACUUGAUGUUCAAUGGUUCGGGUUCAUGCAUACUACUCCUCAUCCUACCCUUUUAUGUAAUUCGGAUUUGCCACAACUUGCUAUGGUAAAAAGCCUGAACCUCCUGCCAAUUAAGUUUAGUUGAUAUCCUAUUGAUAGGUGUGUGUAAAGCUGCACUAGUGAACAUGGUUUUGCAUUUGUUAUAGCCUGCUAUUGUAAAAAAGGCCUAAACCUGAAUAUAUGCUACAGCGGUACAGUUAGCAGUUCUGCAAAAGUUCAGUUAGCUAUCAGAUGCAUGGCCUUAGCUAAGAUAUUUCUUUUGCAGCCAUGUGCUUGUAUGGCUACUCUCGCAUAUAAAAGAAAAUUAUAUGUUAACCAUCUGAUUGUUGUACCCUGCUGUAAUGACAAAAACUAGAUCCUCUUGGUUGCUGAAUAGUGAAUGGUGUCAUAAUCAGAUGAACAUAAACACAUUAACUAAAGUAUGCAGCAUAUAAAAGGAGAACUAAGUAGAAGCAGGAAGCAGCACAUCCUUGCAUCCCUGUAUCUACAUGUCCGAAUAAACUAGCUUUUGGAUGCAACUACUUUAUCUAUGCUAAAACCUGAAACUUAUGGUUCUGCUGCCCCAUAAAUAGUCCUUCACUAGCAUGGUUUUUGAGUCGCUCGCCUAGUCGUGGAGUAGUCGAUGAGUCAAAAAAUGUCGACUCAACUUAGGUCGACUCGAGUCGCGAGUCGCGACUAGCCGCAACUGCAGGCUCGGCUUUUUCACGACUCGAAAACCAUGUUCACUAGUGCUUUUUAAAACUGAAUAAAGACUAAGACUGCACUUGAUUUUGACUCGUUACAGAGAUGUAUAACCCUACACCAGUGUGCUUUUCUCUCCACUACUACAUAAAAGAGAACUAAACUUAAUAUUUGCCAUGCCUCUCCUAAUUUAUUAGCUACCCAUGAUGUUAAGCGACUGAAGCCCACAAGCAUUUUCAGUACGCAUAGAACUUGAUAAAAGCAGAUACAUUGUAAACUUCAGUUUUUGACUAUAUUAUGACAUACUAAACUGGGUAAAUCAAGUUGCUUCUACUUUACAAACAUACAGCGCCAUCCAUUGAGCCUUAAUUUUGGAAGAGUAUAGUAAAGUUUCUGGUUUUCCCAACUAUGCCGGCAGCUACAGUAAUCAUAUUUUUUGCUUUUUUGUUCUGAACAUUCUGGUCUUGCUUUUCAUGGCUUGCUGUCUAUUUCUCCCUGACUGUGUCCCAGCUUUUCCAGCUUCGGUUAUUAAACUAAUGCCACCAAGCAAGAGCAUGUGAAGAGACACAGAGGAAGCAACAAGAAGAAUUGGAAGAUGUGAAGAAGAGCCAGCAAGAGAAGAAUGAAGCACAACAAAAGAAUCAAUAGGAGACGGAUAACCUCAUUGGUUUUCUCGUAAGGGCUCAAGCAAGUCAGUAAGCAACUCAGCAGUCCUAGUCCAAACCAGAAGGUGCAUGAAGACCAUCCUUUUGUGAUGGAAAUAAUUAUUGAAUCAUACAUUGCAAUCAUCAUGACAACACAUGUGGUUUUUAGUUACCUAAAUAUUGCUUUUCAACUUGCCUAUUGUCGUGUCAAACUCGUGAGUUGGUGUUAUUUUUUACUAUCAUGCGUGUUUAGAGGGCAAUUUGGCAGAGAUGAUUGAAUAUAUAGUAUGAUUUGUCUUCCAUUUAUUUUAUGAUGCGAUUUGGAUCUUAA